rnacentral:rRNA from 1 species
AGCAGCCGCGGUAAUUCCAGCUCCAAUAGCGUAUAUUAAAGUUGUUGCAGUUAAAAAGCUCGUAGUUGAACCUUGGGUCUGGCUGGCCGGUCCGCCUCACCGCGUGUACUGGUCCGGCCGGGCCUUUCCCUCUGUGGAACCCCAUGCCCUUCACUGGGUGUGGCGGGGAAACAGGACUUUUACUGUGAAAAAAUUAGAGUGCUCCAGGCAGGCCUAUGCUCGAAUACAUUAGCAUGGAAUAAUAGAAUAGGACGUGUGGUUCUAUUUUGUUGGUUUCUAGGACCGCCGUAAUGAUUAAUAGGGACAGUCGGGGGCAUCAGUAUUCAAUAGUCAGAGGUGAAAUUCUUGGAUCUAUUGAAGACUAACUACUGCGAAAGCAUUUGCCAAGGAUGUUUUCAUUAAUCAGGAACGAAAGUUAGGGGAUCGAAGACGAUCAGAUACCGUCGUAGUCUUAACCAUAAACUAUGCCGACUAGGGAUCGGAUGAUGUUAAUUUUUUAAUGACUCA